UGAGUACGAGCUGCUACGGCAGCGAAGUGGGUGAUGUCAAGCUUCCAAGAAAAGCCCUAUACCCGUUAAGGCAUGACGGCCUGUACCCGAAACCGACACAGGUGGGGUGGUAGAGAAUACCGAGGGGCGCGAGAUAACUCUCUCUAAGGAACUCGGCAAAAUGGCCCCGUAACUUCGGGAGAAGGGGUGCCACCGCAAGGUGGUCGCAGUGAAGAGGCCCAGGCGACUGUUUACCAAAAACACAGGUCUCCGCUAAGUCGCAAGACGAUGUAUGGGGGCUGACGCCUGCCCAGUGCCGGAAGGUUAAGGAAGCUGGUCAGCGCAAGCGAAGCUAGCGACUGAAGCCCCGGUGAACGGCGGCCGUAACUAUAACGGUCCUAAGGUAGCGAAAUUCCUUGUCGGGUAAGUUCCGACCCGCACGAAAGGCGUAACGAUCUGGGCGCUGUCUCGGAGAGAGGCUCGGCGAAAUAGAAUUGUCUGUGAAGAUGCGGACUACGUGCACCCGGACAGAAAGACCCUAUGAAGCUUUACUGUAGCUUGGUAUUGUGCCCGGGCUCUGAAUGCGCAGGAUAGGUGGGAGGCUUUGAUCCAUUGCUUGUGGGUAAUGGUGAGCCAACGGUGAGAUACCACUCUUUCAGAGCUAGGGUUCUAACCCUCACCCGUUAUCCGGGGAGGGGACAGUAUCAGGUGGGCAGUUUGACUGGGGCGGUCGCCUCCUAAAAGGUAACGGAGGCGCGCAAAGGUUUGCUCAGGCUGGUUGGAAAUCAGCCGACGAGUGUAAAAGCAGAAGCAAGCUUGACUGUGAGACCAACAAGUCGAACAGGGACGAAAGUCGGCUUUAGUGAUCCGACGGUUCUGAGUGGAAGGGCCGUCGCUCAACGGAUAAAAGUUACUCUAGGAUAACAGGCUGAUCUCCCCCAAGAGUUCACAUCGACGGGGAGGUUUGGCACCUCGAUGUCGGCUCAUCGCAACCUGGGGCUGAAGUCGGUCCCAAGGGUUGGGCUGUUCGCCCAUUAAAGCGGUACGCGAGCUGGGUUCAGAACGUCGUGAGACAGUUCGGUCCAUAUCCGGUGCAUGCGUAAGAACAUUGACAGGAGUUCCCCCUAGUACGAGAGGACCGGGAGGAACGCACCUCUGGUGUACCAGUUAUCGUGCCAACGGUAAACGCUGGGUAGCCAUGUGCGGAGAGGAUAACCGCUGAAAGCAUCUAAGUGGGAAGCCCACCUGAAGAUGAGUGUUCUCAUGGCUUAAGCCAGUAAGGUCACGGGAAGAACACCCGUUGAUAGGCUCUACGUGGAAGCGCAGCAAUGCGUGAAGCGGAGGAGUACUAAUAGACCGAGGGCUUGAC
rnacentral:rRNA from 1 species